GGUUCCCGUCCCAUUGACCAGCCAAAUUCUUAAACCCUCAUCAGUCCACAUUCUCCAUACUCUUCUCAUGGCAGACACAGAAGAAGUCCCUGAAAACAGGCUUCCCAGAAGCAAGAAGGUUAAGAAGAAACCUAAGUACAGAAGUAUCAAAAAGAUCAUUGCAACUUGCAAGUGAUGGGUUCAGAAUCGAUGGCUUCAACGGAGGGCUAUUGGAUGUGAUCCAAGAAGCAACUUUGUGCCAAGAAGAAGAAGUCCCUGAAGACACAGAAGAAGUCCAUGAAAACAGGCUUCCCAGAAGAAAGAAGGUUAAGAAGGAACCUAAGGACAUAAGUAUCAAAAAGAUCAUUGCCAGUGAUGGGUUCAGAAUCGAUGGCUUCGACGGGGGUCGUCAUUUGGUUUACCAAAGAUAUGGUGUGACUCGUUUUCAUUUGGAUAAUCUGAAAAGUUUUGGUCGACAAUUGGUAAAAAACAAAGAGGAGUUGUUUGGUCUCUUAAGUUCUAAGAAGGGGGAUGAAAAAUUAAGGAAGAUAUUGGGGAUGAAAAAUUAAGGAAGAUAUUGAUUAAUCAAGAGGAUGGGAACAAUGGCUUGGAUGAUUGUAUCAAUUUCAUCUGGAAUUCAUUGGGCAUAAACGAGCCCAGUUUACAACCAGAAGAAGAGGCUGAAGAGCUCUUAUCAAAGCAGCCGGAGUUAUUUCAGGUAGAAGCCGCCACUGAAGAUGACGACCCCAUAUUCACAACUGAGCACGCGCUGUUAGCUGAUUCUGAAAGCCGUGGGAAAAUUGAGAGCAAUCUGAUGGCUUUGAUCAAGAACUUAGAAGAGCAGGUAGCAUGUAUCACUGAUCUGAUUAGCUUCUUAGAAGUGGAUGGGAGUACAAAAGUCGAGAUGGAUCGGGUGAUUAGGAGGCUAUAUGUUUUGUUGGAAAAUGAGAAGAGAAACAUUCGGUUUCUCGUGUGAGAUUAAAUCGCGAUGAUCAGUUAUGGGUUCAGUGCAGAGUUCGAGGGUGUAGAGCCCCAAGCAGCUAAUUUCUUUUUUUUUUUUUGGAUAGCCCAAGCAGCUAAUUUCUGUUCACUAAAUAAAUGUAUGCUAUCUUUUGUUAUGCUAGUAGCUUAUUUUACAAGUUGAAUUUCUGUUAAAUAUGUA